GUAGUCUCGCACAGACGCAUAUCAAUAAGCGGAGGAAAAGAAACUAACAAGGAUCCCCUUAGUAACGGCGAGUGAAGCGGGAAGAGCUCAAAUUUGAAAUCUUCAAGGUUUUACCUUGACGAAUUGUAGUUUAAAGAAGUGUUUUCUGUUGAAGUUUUGGUAAAAGUUCUUUGGAAUAGGACAUCAUAGAGGGUGAGAAUCCCGUAUUUGACCAUUAUUUUCAGCUGUGUGAUACACUUUCAAAGAGUCGGAUUGUUUGGGAAUGCAGUCCAAAAUGGGUGGUAAAUUUCAUCUAAAGCUAAAUAUUGGCGAGAGACCGAUAGCGAACAAGUACCGUGAGGGAAAGAUGAAAAGAACUUUGAAAAGAGAGUUAAACAGUACGUGAAAUUGUCAAAAGGGAAGCGUUUGACACCAGUGUUGUUUUCUCGAAAAUCAAUUAAAAAGAGUUUGAUUUUGUUGUGUAUUGACCUUAACAGCUUGCAUUUCAAUUUUCUUGCUUUUUUUAAUGCACUUUUCGUUUAACAAGUCAACAUCAGUUUCUUUUGUUGUAAAAAGGUCAUUGGAAGGUGGCUUUCUUUUCGGAGAAAGUGUUUAUAGCCUUUGACUCCUGCAAUCGGAGAGACUGAGGUCUGCAGCGUAGAUCCUUCGGGGUUAGAUACAUUUGUGCUAAGUUAUAGCUUUUUAUAGACAACUUGUUGACUAUGAUUAGUCUUGUAGCUUACUCGCUUAUGCUAUUUUACCUACGCUUAGGAUGUUGAGCGCAUGUCUCUCUCU
rnacentral:rRNA from 1 species